rnacentral:sRNA from 14 species
ACAAGACAACGAAAGCCCUUCCUCUCGAUCGUCCUUGCGGCUCCGAGGCCGCGCCAGUUUGAAUUGCAUGUACAAAAAGUCU